rnacentral:rRNA from 1 species
AGAGUUUGAUCAUGGCUCAGGACGAACGCUGGCGGCGUGCUUAACACAUGCAAGUCGAACGGAAAGGUCUCUUCGGAGAUACUCGAGUGGCGAACGGGUGAGUAACACGUGGGUAAUCUGCCCUGCACUUCGGGAUAAGCCUGGGAAACUGGGUCUAAUACCGGAUAGGACCAAAAGGCGCAUGCCUUGUGGUGGAAAGCUUUUGCGGUGUGGGAUGGGCCCGCGGCCUAUCAGCUUGUUGGUGGGGUGACGGCCUACCAAGGCGACGACGGGUAGCCGGCCUGAGAGGGUGUCCGGCCACACUGGGACUGAGAUACGGCCCAGACUCCUACGGGAGGCAGCAGUGGGGAAUAUUGCACAAUGGGCGCAAGCCUGAUGUAGCGACGCCGCGUGGGGGAUGACGGCCUUCGGGUUGUAAACCUCUUUCACCAUCGACGAAGGUCCGGGUUUUCUCGGAUUGACGGUAGGUGGAGAAGAAGCACCGGCCAACUACGUGCCAGCAGCCGCGGUAAUACGUAGGGUGCGAGCGUUGUCCGGAAUUACUGGGCGAAAGAGCUCGUAGGUGGUUUGUCGCGUUGUUCGUGAAAUCUCACGGCUUAACUGUGAGCGUGCGGGCGAUACGGGCAGACUGGAGUACUGCAGGGGAGACUGGAAUUCCUGGUGUAGCGGGAAUGCGCAGAUAUCAGGAGGAACACCGGUGGCGAAGGCGGGUCUCUGGGCAGUAACUGACGCUGAGGAGCGAAAGCGUGGGGAGCGAACAGGAUUAGAUACCCUAGUAGUCC